rnacentral:misc_RNA from 1 species
AACUCUCAAGCAGAAUUAACUUUAUUGUUUAUUUCUUGUUUGGAUUUGGACUCUUGCCGCGUUACUGCGGCUGGUCUUAAAAGUAUUAGCUGGUCUGUAAGAAACUUUGGGUUUGACUUGGCGUGAUAAAUAUUCGCUGAGGACAUCCUUUUGGGUGGCCUAAUUUCUUACUGGAUUGCUUCUAAUCGUCUUUAUCGACAACUUUAUUUCAA